rfam:Triticum aestivum genome assembly, contig: Triticum_aestivum_CS42_TGACv1_scaffold_407972_5BL
GUUGUACUCCCUCUGUCCGGAAUUACUUGUGCGAAAAUGGAUUAAAAUGAAUGUAUUUAGAACUAAAAUACGUCUAGAUACAUCAAUUUCUCAGACAAGUAUUUCUGGACGGAGGGAGUACCAU